UUCAUCAAGAGCAACUGAGGGAUCGGCCCAAAGACGUUGCAGCAACCUUCUAGUAGGAAAGGUGCUAAAUCCGACGAAUCGCGAUUCGAUAGAUGA
rnacentral:ncRNA from 1 species